UACGGGGGGGGCAAGCGUUGUUCGGAAUUACUGGGCGUAAAGGGCUCGUAGGCGGCCAACUAAGUCCGACGUGAAAUCCCCAGGCUUAACCUGGGAACUGCGUCGGAUACUGGAUGGCUUGAAUUCGGGAGAGGGAUGCAGAAUUCCAGGUGUAGCGGUGAAAUGCGUAGAUAUCGUAAGGAAGACCAGUGGCGAAGGCGGGUCUCUGGACAGUUCCUGACGCUGAGGCACGAAGGCCAGGGGAGCAAACGGG
rnacentral:rRNA from 1 species